rnacentral:rRNA from 1 species
GGGCCCGCACAAGCGGUGGAGUAUGUGGUUUAAUUCGAUGCAACGCGAAGAACCUUACCAGGGCUUGACAUCCUGCGAACCUCUGUGAAAGCGGAGGGUGCCUUCGGGAACGCAGUGACAGGUGGUGCAUGGCUGUCGUCAGCUCGUGUCGUGAGAUGUUGGGUUAAGUCCCGCAACGAGCGCAACCCACGUCUUUAGUUGCCAGCAUUUAGUUGGGCACUCUAGAGAGACCGCCGGUGACAAACCGGAGGAAGGUGUGGAUGACGUCAAGUCAUCAUGCCCCCUUACGUCCUGGGCUACACACGUACUACAAUGCUACGGACAAAGAGCAGCAAGUUCGCGAGGACAAGCAAAUCUCAUAAACCGUGGCUCAGUUCAGAUCGUAGGCUGCAACUCGCCUACGUGAAGGAGGAAUCGCUAGUAAUCG